rnacentral:lncRNA from 1 species
GUUAUUUUAACGUUCAUUUUAAGAAAUUGUUAUUGCUUUUAAUUUAAAAAAUGGUCUUUAUAUGGUAUAUGAAAAACAAUUCAAUAUGGAUAGCCCCAAGGACAAAGAGUCUGUACCAUGGAAAGGUGGCCUUGCAGUUUUCUAUCAAACUUCCCAGGAGCAGAAAUUUGCAACCUCCUCUUUGCCGCAACACACCAAAAGGAGCAGAAUCAUUGACUCUUAGUAGUUCUCAGCUGUGAUGCAACAAAGCAUUUCAAAACCUCUAGCUGAAUGCUAAGACAAAGGCUUCUCAUUGUGUGAAAGCUGAAGGAUCUCUCCCUGCAUUCCCU